rnacentral:rRNA from 1 species
UACGAAGGGGGCUAGCGUUGUUCGGAAUCACUGGGCGUAAAGGGCGCGUAGGCGGACGAUUAAGUCAGGGGUGAAAUCCCGGGGCUCAACCUCGGAAUUGCCCUUGAUACUGGUUGUCUUGAGAUUGGAAGAGGUAAGUGGAAUUGCGAGUGUAGAGGUGAAAUUCGUAGAUAUUCGCAAGAACACCGGUGGCGAAGGCGACUUACUGGUCCAUAUCUGACGCUGAGGCGCGAAAGCGUGGGGAGCAAACAGG